UCGCUAGUAAUCGCGGAUCAGAAUGCCGCGGUGAAUACGUCCCGGGUCUUGUACACACCGCCCGUCACACCAUGGGAGUCGGAAAUGCCCGAAGUCUGUGACCCAACCUACGGGAGGGAGCAGCCGAAGGCAGAUCGGAUGACUGGGGUGAAGUCGUAACAAGGUAGC
rnacentral:rRNA from 1 species